rnacentral:rRNA from 1 species
AACGAACGCUGGCGGCAGGCUUAACACAUGCAAGUCGAACGCGUGUAGCAAUACACGAGUGGCGCACGGGUGAGUAACGCGUGGAUAUCUGCCUUUUGGUUCGGAAUAACUCCGGGAAACUGGAGCUAAUACCGGAUGGUUCCUACGGGAUAAAGAUUUAUCGCCAAAAGAUGAGUCCGCGUACGAUUAGCUAGUUGGUGAGGUAAUGGCUCACCAAGGCGACGAUCGUUAGCUGGUCUGAGAGGACGAUCAGCCACACUGGGACUGAGACACGGCCCAGACUCCUACGGGAGGCAGCAGUGGGAAUAUUGGACAAUGGGGGCAACCCUGAUCCAGCCAUGCCGCGUGAGUGAUGAAGGCCUUCGGGUUGUAAAGGCUCUUUUGGCGGGGACGAUGAUGACGGUACCCGCAGAAUAAGCCCCGGCGUAACUUCGUGCCAGCAGCCG